UAACACGUAGGGUGCAAGCGUUGUCCGGAAUUAUUGGGCGUAAAGGGCUAGUAGGCGGCUUGGCAAGUCGAGCGUGAAAACUCCAGGCUCAACCUGGAGCUGCCGUUUGAUACUGCCAUGGCUAGAGUCCGGUAGGGGACCACGGAAUUCCUGGUGUAGCGGUGAAAUGCGCAGAUAUCAGGAGGAACACCGGUGGCGAAGGCGGUGGUCUGGGCCGGAACUGACGCUGAAUAGCGAAAGCGUGGGUAGCGAACAGGAUUAGAUACCCUGGUAGUCCACGCCGUAAACGUUGGGCACUAGGUGUGGGGAGUUAUCAACGCUCUCCGUGCCGUAGCUAACGCAUUAAGUGCCCCGCCUGGGGAGUACGGCCGCAAGGCUA
rnacentral:rRNA from 1 species